UGGAGUGUGUUUUUGUGAACUUGUGGAAAUUAUAUAUAUCUUUGACUGGGGUAAAUUGGCUCUUAAGUAUUGAAGAUUCAAGACCCUUCAUUUGUCAAUGUAACAUGCAGCAUAGUGUCCAAUCUACAGGUGUUAAAAUCAAGUAGACAUACAGUAUCUACAAUUAUACACCGGUCAGCCACAACAUUAUGACCACUGACAGGUGAAGUCAAUAGCAUCGAUCAUCUUGUUAUAAUGCAAUGUUCUGCUGGGAAACCUUGGGUUCUGACAUUCAUGUGGAUGUUUGUCAUGUACCACCAACUUAAACAUUGCAGGUCCAGCAAUUGAAGAUCUGGGGGAUGUGUCAGGAUGAGCCUGAUCUGUCACCAUCCCGAUGUCAUUUCAUAAAAUUUAGUGAAAAAGCUGACCACUUGGUAUGUCUGUGUAUUCAAUUGUCAAUGAUAAGUCUCAUGUCGCCUAAUCAAUGGAAGCAAGGCAUGAACAAUUUUUGUUGCUGCUGUUAACAGUCUACCCGGACAUGCAGGCUAAUACAGAUAACUGAAAUGAACCCAAUAUUAACAUCAAACUGUCAGGAAUGGUGGAGGUAGAACCCAGGUGCAGAUACCAAACAGGCAGGCAACAGGAGUAAAUGGUGAAAAUUAGGUUUAUUUAACCAAAAUCCAGAGUUCAGUAGCAGACAGGCACACAAGGGAAACGUACUCACUACGGUGAUUAUCCUCUCCUAAUGGAAGGAAACAGCUUCAGUAAGUCCAAAAACACUGAGUCUUUAAAAGGAGUCGAGUCCACAAAAGAAGAAACCAAUUAUGCCCAAAAACAGCAGGAUCCCAGGGUGACAAAUCUUCAAACAUCCAGUGUAGGGGGAAAAUCAGAAGGCAAGAGGGGAAAACCAUGUAUGAGACAGUCUCAACUGUGAUGCUCCCACACACAAAGAGGAGAGCAGAGGAUAUUUAAACUGAAAGGGGAAGGCAGGUGAAUAGAGUUGGGCUGAUUGCUCCUCAGCUGAGUCUAAUGACACAAUUAGCUGUCCUGCAGCAGACGAUCAGCUGGGAGCGAGAAAGGGAGACAGGGAAACAAAAACCAGGCAGGAGCUGCAACAGCAUCCUGACAGAGGCAGGAACAAAACCCAGUCAGGAGCCGGACGGCUUCCUGACAGAAACACUAUUCCCUGCCAUUGUGCAUUCCUAAAAUGCCACAACUUCUGCUACUAUCACAAAACUUGCCCUGCAAUUUGUUGGCUGUUGCACUUGGAAAUGUUUGACAUUACAAGCUGAGAGAGAAGCAUCCAGGUUUACCAUUCAUUUUGAACUGCACUAUUUAAUUUGUGGAGGCUGGGCAGGUCCAGCGUGGGCUUCAUCUCCACUAAAGGACCCACCUUGGACCACAUGAUUCAGCUAACCCAGCAUCUGAGUUAGUACACAGUAAGUGUGCUGUAUGAGGUAAUCAAUGAUACAUUGUGUUUGUAGUGUUUGAAGUGCCCCUCUCAGUAAAGGCACCUUGAAUGAAGGAGGCAUCGCUAAUCCUUCACAGCUUCACUACAAGAAACAAAUGUGUAGUCUUACACACUGACAGCACUGACAGGUCACCAUUUGUGUUCUGUAGUAUUAUUUUCAAACAAGAAUUAAAAAAAUGUUGAAUUAAGAUACAAGUAUGUUAUUAAAAUUUUGGUCAGAGGAACUGUACAUGGUCAAGAUCUGUUGGUUGCGCUAACAUUUUUUUUUUUCCAGUUAUACCUAGCUAAAGGGGAGACAGGUGAUGAGAUUGGUAACUCAGAUAUUGGGAUUUUACCAACAUAAAUGUGACUGCUGACAUAGAACCUUUCUGUGUGCAGCCAGAGGAUUUGAGGACAGAGAAAGAAGAGCCAGGCUGAAGAAAGUCAAGGAUAGUUAGCUUUAGUUAGCUAACUGAACAGAUCAGAAGUAAAAGCACAAUUUGUCAUUCUCAUCCUACAUAUUUAAUUUUGUUUAGUUUGUUUCUUGGAUACUGUAGAAGUAAAAUUAGCUUUGAUCAGAUUUAUGUUGGUCCUAAUCUUUCACAGGUUUGACAUGGUGGUUAGAAUACAUAUUUUCUUAAGUAAAUUUUUAACAAAAGGACAUGAUUUUACCAAAUGUUAUUGAUACACUGCUCAAAAAAAGGAACAGUUUUUAAUAUAAGUAUUGCAUCAAAUCAGUGAAACGUGGAAUACUGAUCUGGUCAAGUAAGUAACUGAGGGGCUUUUUAGUCAGUUUCAGCUGCUUUGGUGUUCAUAAAAUUAACAACAGGUGCACUAGAGGGGCAACAAUGAGACAACCCUCAAAACAGGAAUGAGUUAACAGGUGAAGGCCACUGACAUUUUUUUCCUUCCUAAUGUUUUCAGACUGUUUUUCACUAGUUUUGCAUUUGGCUAGGGUAAGUGUCACUUUUGGUAGCAUGAGGUGAUACCUGGACCCUACAGAGGUUCCACAGACAGUCCAACUCCUCCAGGAUGGCACAUCAAUGCGUGCCAUUGCCAGGAGGUUUGCUGUGUCUCCCAGUACAUUCUCAAGCGCAUGGAGGAGAUUCCAGGAGACAGGCAGUUAGUCUGGGAGAGCUUGACAGGGCUGUUGAAGGUCCUCAACCGAUCAGCAGGACAGGUAUCUGCUCCUUUGUGCAAGGAGGAACAGAAUGAGCACUGCAAUAACUCUACAAAAUGAGCUCCAGCAGACCACUGGUGUGAAUGUCUCUGAUCAAACAAUCAGAAAGAGAUGUAAUGAGAGUGGUCUGAGGGCCCAGCGUCCUCUAGUGCCCGCUGUGCUCACUGACUGGCACCGUGGAGCUCGGCUGGCAUUUGCCAUAGAACACAGGAAUUUGCAAGUCCACCACUGGUGCCCUGUGCUUUUCACAGAUGAGAGCAGGUUCACCCUGAGCGCAUGUGACAGGCAUGAAAGGGUCUGGAGAAGCCGUGGAGAACGUUAUGCUGCCUGUAACAUUGUUCAGCAUGACCGGUUUGGUGGUGGGUCAGUGAUGAUGUGGGGAGGCAUAUCCAUGGCUGGACAAUGGCACUUUGACUGCCAUCAGGUAUCAGGAUGAAAUCCUUUGACCCAUUGUCAGACCCUACAUUGGUGCAGUGGUCCUGGAUUCCUUCUGGUGCACGACAAUGCCCAGUCUUAUGUGGUAAGAGAACUCAUGCAGUUCCUGGAGGAUGAAGGAACUGAUACCAUUAGCUGGCCCCCAUACUCACCUGACCUGACUCCAUAGAACACCUUUGGAACAUUAUGUUUUGUUCCAUCCGACACCAUGAGGUUGCUCCUCAGACUGUCCAGGAGCUCAGAGAUGCCCUGGUCCAGUUCUGGGAGGAGAUACCCCAGGACAUCAUCCAUCGUCUCAUUCAGCGCUUGUCCCGACAUCGUCAGUCAUGCAUACAAGCACAUGGAGGCCAUACAAACUGCUGAAUACCAUUUUGAGUUGCUGCCAAGGAAUUUCAGCAAGAUGGACUAGCCUGCCACAUCAGUUUUUCACUUUGAUUUUGGGGUGUCUUGAAUUUAGCCCUCCUGGGGGGUUGAUAAUUUUCAUUCCCAUCAAACAAUGUGACACUUUUCAUUCCUAACACAUUAUCCAGUCCAUAUCAAUGCUAAUAUCCAGUUUGUUUUUUCCCCGUAUUGAAAUAUGAUGUAUUUUAAAAGUGUUCCUUUAAUUUUUUUGAGCAGUGAAUAUAGAGGUAUUGCACACACAUAAAAAACCUAUCUGUAAAUAUGUUUCUCUGUGUCUCCAGCAGAGGGUGCUGUGACUUCACGGUUCACACAGCCGUGUUUUGGAAUAAAACUGUCACCAUUUCAACAUUUUUAAUUUGACUUCUUUCCGAGCAAACUUACUCUACAAGUUUUUCUUGAACUUAAUAAGUACCAGUAUCAACAUUCAAGCCAAAGAUAAAAUGUUCCUAAAAAAUUGAGGGAAAAAGAGAGUUUUUACUGAGUGAGUUAGUUAAUGGUGGAAUUAAAUUUGGUCUCGGGUUGUUUUCCCUGACGAAUGUCCUUUUCAUUUCCCUUCAUAGCAGAUUAGACUUGAAGACAAGCACGGCUAGAUUGGCUUCCUGACUUUUAAGUUAUUUUAGCUGACUGACGGUUUGUCAUAAUUUUAGUGUUCAUGUACCUUUUGUUUUAUGAGAAAGAGGGAAAAUGAUCAUUUUCCUCUUAACAUGGUACUCAUGAUUAUUUUAUUAAAUUCAUUCAUAGUGUAGUUUCUCAGGACAAAGCAUAGUCAGGCCAACAUUCAUCAAUGUUUCUACACAUUUUUGGGCCCUUAAAUGUGCACAUAAAGAAGCACCCAGAAUGGCAGCAGAGCAGGAGCUCUGAUCGCACACUGAUAGUCCUUCCAGGUGAGCUCAGAAGUCCACAGGUGUGCCACUGGGAUACAAGCUCCACCGAGUUUGAUAGAUUAUUUGAUUGACGGCUCUGUUCCCCUGCCUUCUCCCCUCAUCUCGUCUUCCACACACGUCCAACUUGUCCCUCGCUUCUGACACCCCAGACUCUUUGAUCACUCUGCAUGUUUGUACUGCACUGCAGAGAACUACUGAAGACUACAGCGAGAGGAGGAGAGCAAGAGAAGGAAAGGGGAGGAUAGAGAGAAAACAUUCCAUCUCUUUGUUUUUCUCUCUGUGGCAUCUUGCCUUGUGGGAGCGUGGCUCUUUGAGGGGAAUUUGAGAGCUUAACACUGGUGUGUGUGAUUGAAUUUGCGAGCGUGUGUUUGUGUGCACGCGCUGGAACCUGGGAGACCGUGACAGUCUCUCUCUUGUUGACUUCUAAAAGUCCUCCAGUGGCCUGAGACAUGACGCCGUACCACGUCCUCAAAUAACCAAAAGAGAUGUGAGGACAAAAGCAUGGAGAACAAAGCAGGAGAGAAAGAGAAACAGAGGAAGUAAGAAGAAAACCAAAAGGCAUUUGAGAAGAAAAAAAAUUAAAAGCGUACAAGAAAGAAUUCAUUAGAGCUAGAUAAAGAACACAAGUGAGACCCAGUGCAAGAGACAGAAAUAAAGACAAAUGAGAACAGAGGUAAAGGGGAUAAGAUGGAGGUAGAGAAAUGAUGAAAGCAAAGAUGUUCAAUGGGAUAACAAGGAGACGUGUCAUUCAUCUGUCAAGGUGACAAGAAGUACACCUGCCAGUUUCCUUCACUGAACAUGCCGUUGUUGAUUUAUUGACUUUGUGUCUUCCCGAGUUCAAACUGCGGUUAACUGCUGAGUUUAGAGUGGCAAUGGGCGAGGCUGCAGAGGCCUUUAAGGUGGAUCAAAACAUCACAACAAAAUCUUAACAUACUCAUCUUGCAGUGACAAACUAACAGCUUGCCCGCAGCUAUGACAAAAAAUAACAUCAAUCGAAAAAUCCAAGAUAAAAUGGCAUGACACAAUACAUUUAUGCAAUAUAACCCAGCUCUGCGCAGCAUGUUCACCAACACACGCAGCACUGAUGGUCUGUUCAGCCAAAUGGGAAGCUAGAAGAGACAGAAAUAGAGAGAGGGGAAGCAUUUUGACUUAUGCUAAUAUGGGGGAAGAUCAUUCUGUCCUUCACAAGAGUGCAGCUGUGAAUUAUCAUGUCAUGAUUUCCAAGAUGUCCUCCCUAUCCUUGACGGCUAAGAAGAGUAAAGGACAACAGCAACAGCACCAACAUCAGUGUUGGGAAUCUAGCUAACUGUCUUGGUUUUUCUACUUGAAUGCCGUUGAAACUUGAAGAUUAAGUUAAAGAGUUGCAAUUUAGACUGCACUUACGCUAUUGCCUACAUUUAUCCACAGAUGGUCUACACUGAUGAGCCCAAACACUAUGACCACCCCUGACUGAUUUGCUGCUGCUCCUAUGUGCCACCAAAACAAUUCUGAACUGAAUGGACUCUCGGACAGUUGUUAAGUAUACACCAUUGCAGACUGGGAGCCCUCGACAAGGCUUAACAUACCGGUCUUUCCUUCAUCCAUGAUGUUGACUAAGAGGACUGAUUUUUACUGCAAUUAUUGUAAGAUGAUAAGUGCUCAAAUCUGAUUGCUUCUGCCUUGCAUUUCCUUCUCUAAAAUCUGCAUAAAUAUGGGUAUUUCCUAUUCCCAUUAGUUAGCUGUAAGCAGUUUAGUAACUGCUAAAAAAGUUCUGAUACAAAUAUCCCACUGAGCCUCAAAGCUCCUUAGUGGUGUUUUUGGUCUCUCUUUUGUCAUGUUAGUUUUUGCAGUGUAAGCACAUGACUAUCUCCCGGAUGCAAACUAUAUACCAGCAUAACGUGAAAUGUUUUUAAUUAUCUUUACAUGAAGUUAAGGUGAUGCAUAACAACAGGGGUUGGCCAGGGCUUCUGAUAAGCCUGUGAGAGCAUUUUCCAUAACAAGGCUAAAUCAGUCUGCUUAGAUGUACAUAUUGAAUUAAUAGCAAAUCAGUCAAAACAACUGUAUUGCAGGAAAACAUACAUAAAUAUUCCAAUCCGACGUGGAAACAGGGAUCUUUACAGCUGCACACACCCCGCAUAUUCUGAAGCCAUUCGAAUACUCAAUUAAGCCAAACAUGACAGAGCAAGAAUCUAAAAUUUCAUGCAAAACCCCAGUAGCUAUUUUCAUUCUUUUUCCGUUUCCAAGCUCAUUGUCACUUCUUGUCAUCUCGUGCAUAUCUCCUAAUUUUAUAACUUCCCUCAUAGUUGUAUUUCUUUCCCUAAUUAACCAUGUCUCUUCUCUUCUCUUCUCUUCUCUUCUCUUCUCUUCUCUUCUCUUCUCUUCUCUUCUCUUCUCUUCUCUUCUCUUCUCUUCUCGAGCAGAGGGAUAGAGGCUGUAAUCAAAUAUGAAGCUCACCCUGUUUGUGCUCCAUUCUUUUAAAUCUGGCCCCAAAGAAGAAGGAUCUAAUUACUUCUUUGCCGUGCAGAGAGCGAGGGUAAAACCGGGACUCCCUAGCUUUGUCAGUUUAGCAGAGAAACUGUACAAUCUCACAUUUUCUUCACUUCUAAACAGUGCAAAGGAAAGCUUAAUCUUAUUACUAGUGGGAUUCCAAGUAAGCCCAAUUUACUGUAUUGUAAAACAUCAAGGUAAUCUAAUGGCUCUUUAAAGGAUACAAGACAGAUUACCCAAUAAGAGCUCCAACAUCCAGAUAAUGAGGACUGCCUAAAAAAGACAUAAAGCUGUAGAGCCAUUAUUGCUAACUAAGAUGCAUGCAGGACACAAAGAAAACCCUGCACUGCCUGAUUUGUCCAUGUACUGUAUGCAUAGUAUCAGCACAAUGACGGGAAAGAAAAUAGACUCAUACACAUACAGUCACAUACAAAUGGAUGAACAAAAUGCCCACAGUCUUUGUGGAGAGAUUAGCAAAUGAACCAAACUCCCUCUUCGAAAAACUCUGCAUCUAUCAAAGAGGUCUCAGCAGGAGUUGGCCGGCACUCGUCUCUUCAUCUCUUUCUUUGCCUGCGUCGUCCUUCUUUACUCUUCUUCAGGGAUUUUCCUCAACAAAAUUCAAAGUGAAAGGAUUUUAGAGGCUAACAUUCACAGCUUUGUUUGGAGAUUAGUCAUGUAGAAUAAAGUGAGUGUGUGAGAUAAGUGUGUGUGUGUGUGUGUGUGUGUGUGUGUGUGUGUGUGUGUGUGUGUGUGUGUGUGUGUGUGUGUGUGUGUGUGUGUGUGUGUGUACAAGUACUGUGGCCCUUUGUUGACAGCUGAUGCAUAGUUAAUGUGAUAAUGACAAGCAGAGAUGAAAUUUGUUUCCUAGGGAGCUGCGUCAUUCAGCCGUUGUGGGGGGUUAAAAGGUCCGCAGUGAAGCAUUAUCAUCAAACUGUACAUCAGCAUGUUAUAUUUACUGCCAAUCACAUUGACUUUGCUGCAGAUUAUGUCACCUAUCUCUGCUGUGACUGUCACUCUACACAUUUACUCCUCCAUUUUGACCUGUCGUGUCGCUCAAACUGUUAUUACAGUUUUUCUCAAUUGCUAAAACACUGAACUCUAUUGUCUGAACAAAAUUCUCAGUUGCCUGAACCCACUUAUUGAAUCAGUCACUCUUUUGGCAAAACCAUAAGCCCUUUUCACCUGUUCAGACACAUCUUGUCAACACAUUGUCAUUGUGAUGCACCUGUGUUGCAUAAUGGUGAGCACAGGUGGCAAAAGUCAAACACAGUUAAAGCUCAGGCGUCACCGGUUGAACACAGCAACUCAAAAUUGAUCACACUUGUGGCUAAUGAUGUGAGGGUACAUAUACGCCAAAGCACUGGUUUGUGAGGCACUACAAUGGACAGAAAUCUAAGAAGAGGAGCAUGGAUACGGCAUGCCAGGGUUUUUUUUCCCCCUGUUGCCUCGCCAGAGAAAAUGUGGCCUGUGAUGUAGAUGAAGUCCUGUGGCCUGACCCAGUACGGAGAAAUGAUGCUGUGGCAGAGUAACACAUUUCUUUUCUUUGUACUUCAUUUGUAUAUAUGUUUGUGCUUUAUUUUUACGUACAAGUGCUACAUGUAAAUGCACAGGAUUUCUGUUUUUUGCAAAUUCUUUUUUCUAUGUACAAGUGUUACAAAUGCCCAGGUAUUUUGUUUUGCAAUAUGCAUUUAGCCUAAAUAAACAUUUAUUUCUACCGCUUCAUGUCCUGAGCAUUGUGCUUUCAUUUUUUUCUAUGUAGUGCUUAGUGACUGCUCAGUAGAGUAUUUAAUUUAGAUUGACUUGAGGCGUGAUUUGACAGCAUAGUUCAGUUUUGGGCACAGAUUGAACUGUUUUGGGGUGAAAGUUUGGUUUUGCAAGAAGACUCAGAGGUUUUGUGAAUGUAGCUUGAAAAUUGGGUUUUGUGUUCACAGUUUAGGGAGAAGGAGAGCAGCUUUCCAGAAAUGUGUCUUAGCAAUCGAGAAAGACUGUAACUGUUCAAGACUGGCUUUCCCGAAAGGACGACUCCUCCAGACAUCUAUGAUUUGAGUACCAAAAACUCACUACCUGUAAGUUUCAAAGACUGAAAGAUACUAUUUUGUGGUAGCUUGGAUAUACAGUGGAUUCUAAUGGUGAUUUUAAAAAAAAACAAUCCUCUGCAUCAUAAACAGCUUCUUUGUGAUCUUCAAAACUAUUGCCACUGCUGAAACAAAUGAUCAAAUAUGCCACUUUUUGUUGACCUUCGAAGCAUAUUAGUGUGUGCAGAGUGGUAUCUUUGGCUGAAUCUUAACCUUGGGAUCAUGACUAUUUGGAGGGUUGCAAAAUAGUUUUCACCUAAAACUCUGAGUUGUAUAACAAUGGCAGUGUCCAAGGAAUGCCAACUAUUUAUUGGGUCAUCCAAGGGUUUCCUUGGAAGAUGAGGGAGACCUAUAUUAUCUCUCUCUAUAAUGUCACUUAGCAUAAGUAAAUGCCAGUGUGAUUCGAAAGAGAGAGCCUACUGUCAACAGCAGCUCUAGUAUCCUCCGCAAUUCCAGUUCCUGUGAUCUCUUUGUUGUCGUCAAGCCAACUUGCUGCAAGUCUACCUCUCUUUCUCUUUCCAUUGAGCAUCCUUUGAAUGAUUGUUUUCUCCAGGCUGUGAUAUCUGGUACCAUGACCAAAGUAGCUGAGCUUCCUUACAAUGUUAUUAUAUUUUACACAAUUAUACUAUAUUACAAAAAAAAAAGUGCUUUUUGGAUAGUUGAACUGUACUAACAGUGCAAACAGUGCACUUUGCACUACAGACUGUCAGUAAAUGAAUGUGACUGCAACCCUGGAAUCGGAAACAUCUGUAGAAAGAUGUUCUUUCUGCUGUAAGCUUUCUUUUGCUGAAGUUCUUUCAUGCCCCUGACUUGAAAGCUGAAGUAGAAGCUUUUAUCAUCUGGGUUAUCGUGGCUUUUGGUUGACUUUGGUUGGAUAACUUAACUAACGACGAAUGAAAUAUCAUGAAUUUUGAAAGAUGUGUGUGCUUUGCUCCACAAAGACCAGGUGUGUAUGAAAGCACAUUUAUAGGUGCUGAAAGGUGUAGUCAUAACCACACGUACAAACACAUACUCCAUGGGUCAGACAGUAAUUAAAAAGUGCUCUGUUCUUGGAGUCACAAGGUUGCAGCUGCCUGCACUCCAGAGGACUGCAUAAUAAGAGGCAAACAGCAGCAGUGUAACCUCCACUUACCUUCUGUAGUUUAACGCUCUGUCAGACACUUUUCAUUCUCCUUCUGAAUUUCACUUGUUUCUCAGUAAAUUUUUCAUUUUCCACGUUUUUCUGAGCCAACUAAAUAAACAGAAUUGAAUAAAAUUAUGUAUUACUUCAGUUUUAUUAAUAAAACUUAUAAUUUAAAAAAUGCCGCACUCCCAUAUUUUCAUGUAUAACUUACUUUGUGUCAACAGAAGUGUAAUAUUAAUGAGAUCCAUAACACUCAAGAUGAGAGACCUCUAAAAGAGCAGACCACAAAGCUUUUCCAAAACAAAAACAACAGUUUGCAUGGAAAUACAAAAUGAGCUCUGAGAGACGUGUUUGUCUAAAGUUAGGGUACACAGACAGGAAAUUAAUUCAGCUUUUGCUUUAAAGACAACAGAUUGUGUUUUCCACCCCUAAUGGUGGAGAAAUGAUCGACUAUAUAGAGCAGAAUUCUAAUUUUGUGACCAAAUGUCCACACUGUAGGAAUGCAUAGCUGGAGGGGAUCAGGAAUCUUUUGUACUGAUGCUUAGUGCUUUGUUUUACCCACAUUUUAACUUGCAUGAUGCCUGUCUCUAUUGUACAUACACAUAAACUUUAUUUUUAAUACAGAUAGGAAAAUAUGUAAAAAAAAAAAAAAAAAGUUAAGAGGCUUUGAUAUAUUGUUUCCUGGGUUUGUACUAUUUUCUGCUACUGAUGCUGACUUUUUACCACACCAUAGUAGGAAAGCAGGUAUUGCCAAUGACAACAAUUUCUCUUGUGUCCAGUCAGGACCCUAAUACUGAAACUUUUUCAUGAAUGACACCCGUGCUUUUUCUGUUGCAACACAUAAAAACAACUUUUGUGACAUUUAUACCUAAUUUCAUCAUAAUGUGUUUGUCUCUUUUUUAUGGAUGAUUAGGUGUACUGUGGUUCAAAAGUCUGAACCUGCUCGUAAAGAUGCAUUGAUUUUGUAUCUGCAUUAAAUGUAUUACAAAUUUGUUGAUUAAAAAUGACAACAUCAGUUUACCAAUCUCUAAACAACAUUAACCUAGAUUUCAAAACACCUUCGAUCUGCCCUUUAUUUGCUCUAAUGACUGCAGCAGUCCUGUUGGCAUAGACUCCACCAAUUUGUGCAAAACCCGAUGACCCAUGUUAUCCCUGCAUGACCUGGCUACGGUCCCAACGGCUUAUUUUGAUGGCAGGAAUGUUCCGUAAAUGCUGGGGUUGAGGUUAGGUGACUAUGGAGGAAGGUCCAUGACAGUCGACUCCUCUGGGUCUUUUUGGUCCUCCAUUAGUUCUUGCAAGGCUUUGAGUUGUGUUUAAGCUCAUUAUUCUGCUGCGGAUUGAUUCUUUCUGUACAGACAGUGGAGCUACCUCUCCUUGCUCAGUUAAGUGCAGGUGUCCAACUCCAGAGCAGACAGACUCCACCACCCCCCUCCCCCCAACAACUACCAGACCAACCACUAGCCUCCUUUUGACAGUGCUUUCGAUGAUUGUAAUCACGUUUUUAUUUAGCAAAUUCUUUGAGCAAAGCUUAACUUAUAUGUCCUCUGAUUUUGUGGUACUUUUUUGUUCUCCUGAUGGUGCCUUGAGUACAACUGAUCCAGGUUCAUUUCAGUGUUUUUUAGAAAACCAUGCACUACCCCUUUAGAAACCCUUUAGUCUCGCUAUGAUUUGAUGGUGAGAAAGCUCCUAUUUGCUUCGAGCAACAAUUUGAAUUCGAGACUUUCACUUACUCACUAACACAAUUCUACACAGUAGUUCUGCUGGGACCUUGAGCCACAGCUGUAUUUAUAACAACAAUGGCUGAGAGUUGAUUGACUUUGACCAAACCGCUAGCGAUACAUCAAAUCCACCUGAAUGUCUUAAGAAUGCAGCUUCAAUAGUCCUUUUCACAGCAGACAAUUUGACUUGUCACAGUAGGGAGAGCACGGAUGCAUUAAUGAAGGGUGCAUUACACUCAGGGGAGGUCUUGUUUUGGGCAUGCUGGUUCACUGUCGUGGCUUGCUGGCACACAUUUUGGAGCCAGACAUCAUGUCUUCUACCUGUUAUUUCCCCACUGUGACAAGUCCAAAUGCCUGCAGUGGAGAAAAAGUUCUAUGGAAUCAAACCAACUCAGGAAAAUGUGACCUUUUACACAAAUGAGUAAACACUGUCACUGACACAGAUUUGAUCCUGAAGGUACAAAAUGUGAGAUUUUGAGCAUGAAUAUAAGAUUAAUGUAGUGACACACACACCCGCAAUGUAAUGAAUAAGCUGGCAUAAGUGUCAUUAGCGAAUAAUACAGUCACAUUCUACAUUUUAUUUAUGUUAUUUAUCUCAUUUUUAUACACUUGUUUCAUUUUUGCUCAGUGUGAGAGGCUAGACUGCUGUUUUGCUACUUUCUUUUGCUUCCUCUCCACUUGUGUCUAUUCUGCUCUGGUCCCAUGUGUGGAAACAGACACACAAAGAGUGGAGUGGAACAGACAUAGCAGAGCUGAGAGCAAGUCAUUGUGGUCAGUCAUGUAUUUUACCUUGCUGGCUUUAUUGUAGUUGUAAAUGGCAUAUGAAGGGAGGGUGGAAGUGUGGCUGGCAUGCUUGUAUGAUUUAAUCUAAAACACAAGUGCUCUAAAAACAUCUAGAGGUUCUGAAAAAUGCAUAUUAUGAAUAUUCGUUUCUUUUUACAGUGAAUGAAAUAAAAUCCCUUGAUCAACUGGAUUUUGCAACAGUUAGAUAAUGUGUUUUUCUGGAUUUUUUGUUGAUAUUCUGUCUCUUACAGUUAAAACAAACCUACUAUUAAAAUUAUAGACUGCUCAUUUUUAUAUAUGUGGCCAAAAUCAUGAAAUAUGCAGCUGACCCAAUGCUUAUUUCCCCACUGUACAUGCCCCAGUUUGUUUUGAAAAAUGUUUCUAUAUCCGCAGGUUUCAAUUUUUUUUGAGGCACAUAUAUAACAAAUUUGUUAUGUGGUUAUAUUUUCGGACCCCACUUUGUGUUUGUAUAAUGUUAUUAAUUCCAAAUCGUAUAUACACAUAUGGAUUUGAUCCGAUAACAAUGCUAUUGCUUCUGCUACUGACACUGUCAUGCUGGUAUCUUACAGUUGGCCCUCAUAUUUUAUUCAGCUUUCAUUUUUUCCUGUACGCUAUUUUUUUUCUCACCAAGUUAACAAGACUAGUGUCUAUUACUGGAUCUUUGGCUUAAGAUCUAAUAAACAGAGCUCCUCCAGCAUGUUUGUAUUCUCGCCUUUCUAUAACAGCACUCAUAACAUGGUCCAGAGAUGGCAAGUGGGAAGUUACAUGCUGCAACACUCUUGGGAACAGUGCCAGGCAAGUGUGCUCCACUUAGUGUUCUGCCAGAACAACUCUGACAGCAUGUUAAUGUUAGUGAGGCGACGGGUGCCAAUACUCUACCCCAUAUUAAGGUUUUCCACUAGAGCAGAUGCCAUAUGUUCUUCUUUGCCACAGCCACAUGUCUCCUUCCCUUUCAGCUUCGCCUUAAAGGGACCCAGUGCAAAUGAGGGAAGAAUCUACAGAUUCUCCUGCAUCUUUCUGUUGCUAAUGCAUUUCUGUGUUCAAAAGCCAGCGCAGGCAGGAAAAGAACAGUCUUAACAGAAAUAAAUAUAAAACAAGAAACAUCCCCAUUCUUUUCUUCCCCUUCACAGUAAAAGUACGCUGUUUUACAUUGAAACCAGCUUCCUAGCUUCAUCUCUUGCUUCUCGAAGAAUGGAUUUCCAUAUGGCAGAUGAUCUUUUGGUGUAUAUCACAAUUCUAACUUACACUGAAGGCAACUUUUUCUGUUGGAAUGUUUGUAUGCUGGAUCAAAUGCAACUGUACAAGUGUGUUUGUGUGUGUUAAAUAAAAAGAAGUGAUAUAAGAUGGAGUGAGGUGGAUGAAACGUAGAAUAAGUGGAAAAAAUAACUCACUUUGGAACACAAAUAAAUAAAAAAAAUUUACACAUGA